AUUGAACGCUGGCGGCAUGCUUUACACAUGCAAGUCGAACGGUAACAGGCCGCAAGGUGCUGACGAGUGGCGAACGGGUGAGUAAUGCAUCGGAACGUGCCCAGUCGUGGGGGAUAACUACUCGAAAGAGUAGCUAAUACCGCAUACGAUCUAUGGAUGAAAGCGGGGGACCGUAAGGCCUCGCGCGAUUGGAGCGGCCGCUGUCAGAUUAGGUAGUUGGUGGGGUAAAGGCUCACCAAGCCAACGAUCUGUAGCUGGUCUGAGAGGACGACCAGCCACACUGGGACUGAGACACGGCCCAGACUCCUACGGGAGGCAGCAGUGGGGAAUUUUGGACAAUGGGCGCAAGCCUGAUCCAGCAAUGCCGCGUGCAGGAAGAAGGCCUUCGGGUUGUAAACUGCUUUUGUACGGAACGAAACGGCUCUGGUUAAUACCCGGGGCUAAUGACGGUACCGUAAGAAUAAGCACUGGCUAACUACGUG
rnacentral:rRNA from 1 species